rnacentral:rRNA from 1 species
GCCGCGGUAAUACGGAGGGGGUUAGCGUUGUUCGGAAUUACUGGGCGUAAAGCGCGCGUAGGGGGAUUAGAAAGUUGGGGGUGAAAUCCCGGGGCUCAACCUCGGAACUGCCUCCAAAACUGCUAGUCUAGAGUUCGAGAGAGGUGAGUGGAAUUCCGAGUGUAGAGGUGAAAUUCGUAGAUAUUCGGAGGAACACCAGUGGCGAAGGCGGCUCACUGGCUCGAUACUGACGCUGAGGUGCGAAAGUGUGGGGAGCAAACAGGAUUAGAUACCCUGGUAGUCCACACCGUAAACGAUGAAUGCCAGUCGUCGGGUAGUAUACUAUUCGGUGACACACCUAACGGAUUAAGCAUUCCGCCUGGGGAGUACGGUCGCAAGAUUAAAACUCAAAGGAAUUGACGGGG